GUUUUAGUAAUUUAAGUAAAAUAUUGGUCUUGUAAGCCAAAAAUAAAAUUAAUUUUUUUAAAACU
rnacentral:tRNA from 1 species